rnacentral:rRNA from 1 species
GUGGGGAAUUUUGGACAAUGGGCGCAAGCCUGAUCCAGCCAUGCCGCGUGAGUGAAGAAGGCCUUCGGGUUGUAAAGCUCUUUCGGCCGGGAAGAAAUCGGCGACUCUAACAUAGUCGCUGGAUGACGGUACCGGACUAAGAAGCACCGGCUAACUACGUGCCAGCAGCCGCGGUAAUACGUAGGGUGCGAGCGUUAAUCGGAAUUACUGGGCGUAAAGCGUGCGCAGGCGGUUUUGUAAGACAGAUGUGAAAUCCCCGGGCUUAACCUGGGAACUGCGUUUGUGACUGCAAGGCUAGAGUACGGCAGAGGGGGGUGGAAUUCCUGGUGUAGCAGUGAAAUGCGUAGAUAUCAGGAGGAACACCGAUGGCGAAGGCAGCCCCCUGGGCCUGUACUGACGCUCAUGCACGAAAGCGUGGGGAGCAAACAGGAUUAGAAACCCGGGUAGUCC